rnacentral:rRNA from 1 species
GAUCCUGGCUCAGGAUGAACGCUAGCUACAGGCUUAACACAUGCAAGUCGAGGGGAAACGACAUCGAAAGCUUGCUUUUGAUGGGCGUCGACCGGCGCACGGGUGAGUAACGCGUAUCCAACCUGCCCACCACUUGGGGGAUAACCUUGCGAAAGUAAGACUAAUACCCAAUGACAUCCCACGAAGACAUCUGAAUGAGAUUAAAGAUUUAUCGGUGAUGGAUGGGGAUGCGU